rnacentral:lncRNA from 1 species
AGUGCAGGCCGAGGCACAGCAGAGUCUCACAGACUCUCAAAUGAAAUGGGGAUGUGGGUUAGAAACAAGGAGAUCUUAGACAUUAGCAACUGUAUCAGAUUUUUACAAAAGCAAUUGCUGGCCACUUUGUACCUAUUAUGAUGGCUACCAUCAAAAGACGAAAAGAAGUAGAAGCUGGAGAGUGCUGGCGAGGGUGAGGGGAGAUUGGAAUCUUGGACUCGACUGGUGGGAAUAUAACAGGAGGCAAGCCAAUUUGAGAAACUGUGUGCCAGAUUCUCCAAAGACUAAGAAGAAUGGAGUGUGACUUAGUGACUUCAGCUCUGGGGAUGGAGCCCUGUGUUUCCAAAAGCAGCGCGGAUUUACUUGCAUGCCUGUGUUCAUAACAGGAUCAGUCACAGGAGGUGCAAAUACAGAAGCAGCCCCCAUCUCUACUGCCAGACAAACAGGCAGGGAUGUUUCCACUGUCACCUCAGUGUUCUCGGUGUUCUAGAACAAAGGCUGAGGAAAAGGCUAAGCGCUGGACAGACGUCAAAACCCAACCCUGAGUCAUCUCUGCAUCCAAUCCAGCCUCCUGCACGGCGUCCCAAGAGACAUGGCUGCAUUUACGUGGACACCAGCUCAGAAGACCCGAUACCUGCACUCCCUGGAAGAUGGCCAGUUCCUCCCCACAUGCCCCAAACAAAUAAUCUUGAGGAUUCUCAUUCAAAAGGAUGUUUUAUUAGGGAACUACCUUCAUCCUAUGUUAGUUUCCAAUUGACUUGGACAAGUUGGAAUAUUUCUUUCUUUCUUUCUUUUUCUACAGGGUAAGCAAAACCAGCUCUGCACCACCCUGUCACUAACACAUUUUCUGCUGGCAUCCCUCCCUUAAAAUCCCGGGAAGGGGCCCCUCUGGAGUGUCAGAAGUCGCACUGCCUCUCUGCCUGGCAGGAAGGACCGGUCACUCUGGAGUUAAGGAACUGCAACUGGAGAGCACACACCUUAGCCAGCCCUGUCCUUUCUCCAUCGACUCCACAGAUUAAUACUGUGGAGGAGAUGUGUGAGGCGGUGUUUAAAGCUCUCAAAGCAAAUUCUUCAAGCAUCCUCAAGCACUUACAAACACUUGAUACCGUAAUUACAAAUAAUUCUCUUCUCAUUAAGCCUCUACCAGCCUGCACUGCUAAUCUACUUUGAAUUACAUGCAAUGGAAGACACACGUUUCUUCAAAAAGCCAGCUCAUAACUCACACUUUGAAUUCACACAAACUAAUCCCUGAUGCAAUUCAUCUGGCCUGGUAAAGAUUUACUGCGUGCUAAACAUAUAGAUUAAUGGCACUGAAGUGAGAAAGAUGGCCACCCCGCCCCCAGGAGGGUAAGUCCCGCCCCUAGGAGGGUAGGCAGGGAGGACAGUGAGGAAGACCAGAGCACCAACUUCCAGUGAGGAACAGCCCAGACCUGCGGUCCCUAGUAACUCCGUGCCUUCCGGAGGGAAGUUCCUCUCAGGUUCCUCUCAGGAGGUGGUGGACCAUCAUUUCCUACAAGAGGAAGCUGAAGGUCACACUGGGCACUAAACACAGGGCAGGUGAGGACGGAAGCUUUCCAUCCCUGACUCAGACCGAAGGGACAGAGUGAGAGGCCCUGGGGUGUCUGGGGCCUUUCCCACUGUGCUUGUGCAUGUUCACUAGACUGUGGCUGGCAGAAGGGGAGGCCAGCGAGCAAGGGAAGGUGGGAAAACCAUGUCCCACUCCUAGAGAGACGCCCUUCAGGAAGAGCCAGGGGAGCAGCUAUAGACGGUUUGGGGAGACAGUCUUUACAGCCCUCAGCCGAAGAGCAAGAGCGACAAGGCCCGUCCUGGGGGUAGAAGUGUUGCCUUCUGUUAGGGCGGGCGCCCUGUUGACCUCCGAGCACAUCAGGUGAGAGCAUUCGGGAGAGAUCUGUGCCGCCCUCUAUCCUUCAGCACUGAGCUAUGCGGGGGUCUUCACACCUCAGACACACCACACGGCGCAGCCAUUCAUCACGUGGGAUCCCGGAGCACAGCCAACGUACAGCCACCGGAAUAAGGCCUGGGGUGGGNNNNNNNNNNNNNNNNNNNNNNNNNNNNNNNNNNNNNNNNNNNNNACCGCUGUGGUUGUAGCUCCCAAGACACAGAGCUGAGAUCUCUACCAAUGUCUAGGUUUUAGCCUUUGUUUUGUUCCAGGUAUCUGAUGAGCAGCACCCUGCCCUGAAUACUCCUCACACUUUCCUGUUUCCGAGUUGGCUCCCUAGCCUAGCACCACCUCCCAUGCCUCCAUCCCAAGUCACCGACUCACCUUUCAAGGCCCGAGUCUAUCACGGACUCUUCCAAGGAGCCUUGCCCACACCCGUGACCAGCUGGAACUAAUCACUUCCUUUGUUACAAUGUUGAUUCUGCUACAAUGUUGAUUCUGCUGUAUACUGCGGGUAUUUGUGUAACAUUUGCUCCCUCACCAUUUGGAAGCCUCCCUGGAGAAGGAUCAUCUAAUGAGCCACCUGUCCGCCCACCGUUUCCUCAAUAGGACCUCUGUGUUUGCUGAGCGAAUCAGUGGCUGACAAACAGCCAACUGGGGCAGGCAGUCGGUCCUCUUGUUUACACUUGUUCAGCUGUUCGUAAUGACACCAAGAAGAACCUGUGACUGAGGGACGCAGAGUGGCUGUGAAGACAACAUGGCUUUCAAGCCAGACUGGAGAACUGCUCAUGCUCAGAUAGCAUGGAAACUAGCAGCCUUCAAACAGCAUAUAGGUGGUCAACGACCAAGUGACAUUUUUAAAAUAAAAUUUUAAGACUUAACUU